AUUGAACGCUGGCGGCAGGCCUAACACAUGCAAGUCGAACGAGUGGCGGACGGGUGAGUAAUGUCUGGGAAACUGCCUGAUGGAGGGGGAUAACUACUGGAAACGGUAGCUAAUACCGCAUACCAUCAGAUGUGCCCAGAUGGGAUUAGCCUGUUGGUGGGGUAACGGCUCACCAAGCCGACGAUCCCUAGCUGGUCUGAGAGGAUGACCAGCCACACUGGAACGGGGACACGGUCCAGACUCCUACGGUGGGCAGCAGUGGGGAAUAUUUCACAGUGUGCGCAAGCCUGAUGCAGCCAUGCCGCGUGUAUUAAGAGGGCCUUCGGGUUGUAAAGUACUUUCGGCGGGGAGGCGUUACCCACAGAAGAAGCGCCGGCUAACUCCGUGCCAGCAGCCGCGGUAAUUC
rnacentral:rRNA from 1 species